AUGGAGGCGGAGGUGCAAGCGCGCGAGGAGCAAGAGGAGGAGGAGGUGGCGUGCGAGUGCUGCGGGUUCACGGAGGAGUGCACCGCACCGUACAUCGCCGGCGUGCGCGCGCGGUACGGCGGGAGGUGGAUCUGCGGGCUCUGCGGGGACGCCGUGGCCGAGGAGAUGUGCAGGGCCUCGCCGCCGGUGUCGCCCGCGGAGGCGCUCGACCGCCACGCCUGCGUGUGCGGCGAGGGCCGCCGCGCGUCCGCGUCCGCUCCGCCGUCGCCGGGCGACGAGCUCAUCGCGGCCCUGCGGCUCCUGCUCCGCCGCAGACUGGGCUCGCCGUCGCCGCCGAGGCUGGUCCGCUCCACGCCGAGCAGCCCGAGGCGCGACGCCGUCGCCCCCGCCGCGGCCGUGGGCGCCGGGCCCGGCGCCGGCGGCCCGCUCGCGCGCACCGAGAGCUGCUUCGCCGCGCUCGUGGAGUAG
rnacentral:rRNA from 1 species